GACGAACGCUGGCGGCGUGCUUAACACAUGCAAGUCGAACGGAAAGGCCCUGCAUUUGUGGGGUGCUCGAGUGGCGAACGGGUGAGUAACACGUGAGUAACCUGCCCUUGACUUUGGGAUAACUUCAGGAAACUGGGGCUAUUACCGGAUAGGAGCUCCUGCUGCAUGGUGGGGGUUGGAAAGUUUCGGCGGUUGGGGAUGGACUCGCGGCUUAUCAGCUUGUUGGUGGGGUAGUGGCUUACCAAGGCUUUGACGGGUAGCCGGCCUGAGAGGGUGACCGGCCACAUUGGGACUGAGAUACGGCCCAGACUCCUACGGGAGGCAGCAGUGGGGAAUAUUGCACAAUGGGCGGAAGCCUGAUGCAGCAACGCCGCGUGCGGGAUGACGGCCUUCGGGUUGUAAACCGCUUUCGCCUGUGACGAAGCGUGAGUGACGGUAAUGGGUAAAGAAGCACCGGCUAACUACGUG
rnacentral:rRNA from 1 species